rnacentral:rRNA from 1 species
GAUUCGACCCGUCUUGAAACACGGACCAAGAAGUCUAGCAUGUAUGCGAGUCAAAGGGUGGUUAAACCUGAGGGCGCAGUGAAAGCGACUGUAGAACUUGCAGUUUGCGGCGGCAUAUGAUCUCUGAUCGUAAGUCCGACCUAGAGCAUAUAUGAUAGGACCCGAAAGAUGGUGAACUAUGCUUGAGUAGGGUGAAGCCAGGAGAAAUUCUGGUGGAAGCUCGUAGCGGUGCUGACGUGCAAAUCGCUCGUCAAACUUGAGUAUAGGGGCGAAAGACCAAUCGAACCAUCUGGUAGCUGGUUUCCUCCGAAGUUUCUCUCAGGAUAGCGGACCAAAUUUGAAGUUGUUAUGCACGGUAAAGCGAAUGAUUAGCGCACUUGGGGGAAUUUAUUCCUCCUGGCGAUUCUCAAACUUUAAAUGUGCAUGGAGAGGGCUGCUUGGUUGAGCUCCCUCGUUAAAAACAUUGGUUCCGUGGGCCAAUCUUGGUAAGCAGGACUGGCGAUAUGGGAUGAACCAUAAGUGUAGUUAAGGCGCCAAAUUACCCGCUUAAAGAUCCCAAAAAAGGUGUUGAUUCAUAUAGACAGCAGGACGGUGGCCAUGGAAGUCGGAAUCCGCUAAGGAGUGUGUAAAAACUCACCUGCCGAAUGAAUUAGCCCUGAAAAUGGAUGGCGCUGAAGCGGGUAGCCGACACUGCACCAUUUCAGCAAAUUUUGUCUGAGAUGAGUAGGAGGAACGUGGCGGUUGUAUAGAAGCAUGGGCGCAAGCUUGUGUGGAACGGCCGCUAGUGCAGAUCUUGGUGGUAGUAGCAAAUAUUCAAAUGAGAUCCUUGAAGGGCCAAGCGGGGAAGGGUUCCUCGCGAACAUUGAUUGAGCGAGGGUUAGUCGUUCCUAAGCCAUCUGGCAAUAGCUAGUCACUGGCGAAAGGGAAGCAGGUAAAGAUUCCUGCACGCAGUUGUUCUUGCGGUGACGCACGUCGGCCCAUAGAAGUCGUGGUGGUAGUCGCUGGGCAGAGAUUUCUUUUCUGUUUAACGCCCUCUCGUUCUGUGAAACCCGCUUGUCGGGAGUAACAGACGACAGCACAGGGCAGAGCGCAGGAAUUUUUCCUGCGUCCGGCUUGAUUCCCACGUCCCUUGAAAAUCUGGGUGCUGGCCUAUGAUCGACCUUCGGGUGUGAGCUAGGUGGAACAUUAGAACUCUGCAACGUACCCAUAACCGCAUCAGGUCCCCAAGGUGAACAGCCUCUGCUCGAUAUGAAUAAUGCAGGUAAGGGAAGUCGGCAAAUUAGACCCGUAACUUUGGGAAAAGGGUUG